AACGCACCUUGCGCUCCCUGGUAUUCCGGGGAGCAUGCCUGUUUGAGUGUCAUGAACUCUUCAACCCACCGGUUUCUUGUAGACUGUUGUGGUGUUUGGAUUUUGAAUGUUGCUGGCUCUUCGGAGCGAAGCUCGUUCGUAAUACAUUAGCAUUUCUAAUUCGAAUUCGGAUUGACUCAGUGUAAUAGACUAUUCGCUGAGGACACUAGUAAUAGUGGCCGUAUUCAAUACAAGAGAAGCUUCUAAUCCUUCUAGUCAACUUUAGAUUAGACCUCAAAUCAGGUAGGAUUACCCGCUGAACUUAA
rnacentral:misc_RNA from 1 species